GACGAACGCUGGCGGCGUGCUUAACACAUGCAAGUCGAACGGAAAGGCCCUGCUUUUGUUUGGUUCUCGAUUGGCGAACGGGUGAGUAACACGUGAGUAACCUGCCCUUGUCUUUGUGAUAACUUCAGGAAACUGGGGCUAAUACCGGAUAUGAUCUCCUGCUGCAUGGGGUUGGUUGGAAAGUUUCGGCGGUUGGGGAUCGACUCGCGGCUUAUCAGCUUGUUUGUGGGGUAGUUGCUUACCAAGGCUUUGACGGGUAGCCGGCCUGAGAGGGGGACCGGCCACAUUGGGACUGAGGUACGGAGCAGUAUGCUACGGGAGGCAGCAGUGGGGAAUAUUGCACAAUGGGCGGAAGCGUGAUGCAGAAACGCCGCGUGCGGGAUGACGGCCUUCGGGGUGUAAACAGAUUUCGCAUGUGACGAAGAGUGAGUGACGGUAAUGGGUAAAGAAGCAACGGCUAACUACGUG
rnacentral:rRNA from 1 species